UGCCAAAACUUAGCAGCUUCAAAUACAAGUAUUUACCAUCACAUGCAGCCUGUCGGGAGCAGGAAUCCGGGAGCAGCUCUGGCUGCAGGUCUUUCUCAAGGGUUAUCGUCAUCUUCAGGAUGAGGGCCUGGCGAGACAGACUUCAGUUGGCGGUGACCCGGCCAGAGGCCACCAUUUCUUCCCACCGGGCUUCUCCAGAGGACUGCUUAUCACAUGGUAACUUCCUCUCCACUGCGUGAAAGGGAUUAGAAAAAUGAGAGCCGGAAAGGGUCAGAGAUUUGCUUAAGAUCAUGCAGCCAGUGGCUCACUGAUGCAUCUGCUUUCGGCUCAGGUCAUCAUCCCAGGGUCCUGAAAUCAAGU